AUCCUUGACUUAGUUGACUAUAUAAUCUUAUUAUAAGCUUUUUAAAUAAUGCUAUCACUGUUUUAAUCGAUGUUUAGCAUAUUGCCCCCAGGGAGAUUUUCCUAUUGAAGUUUUUGUUAUACAAAGAAGUUUACUGACCGGUGACUAUAUUUCUUGUUUCCAGAUACUUUGCAAGUCAUAUCCUGUGGAAUUUGCCUCUUACUUUCACUAUUGCCGCUCUUUGACAUUUGAUCAACGGCCAGAUUAUGGACUUUUGAGACGCCUAUUUCGUAAUUUGUUCACCCGUGCAGGAUACGAUUCCGACUAUUUAUUUGACUGGACCAUUCUAAAAUAUCAGCAGAUGCAACAGCAGAAGACACAGAGUCAAUCUCCUGCACCACAUGCUGUGCUUACUUGUCUUGAACCAUUGGAUGAGGAUAAUCAUAAAGGUAA